rnacentral:rRNA from 1 species
UACAUGGGGGUGCAAACGUUGCUCGGAAUUAUUGGGCGUAAAGCGCACGUAGGCGGUUCGUUUAAGUCGGAUGUGAAAAGCCCUCGGCUCAACUGAGGAAGUGCACCCCGAAAACUGGCGAGCUUUGAGUACGAAAAGAGGAUCGCGGAAUUCCCCGGUGUAGAGGUGAAAAUUCGUAGAUAUCGGGGAGGAACACCAUGGCGAAGGCAGGUCU